CCGAAAGUGUUUGUUGCUGUGACUGACUCGCCUAGAGAAAAUAUGCACGUACCACAUAAGUAUACGUCAAUAUCUGUAAUAAUGGUAGAUGAAAUGUUUCAUCUGUGUGAAACUUUUUGCUAAUCGAAAUGUUAAACCAACCACCAAUCCAUGUACAUAGAUGCGCUACGUAAACAAAGUUGUUGGUUGAUACAUCGUAAUGUCCGAGUGCAGCAUGCUGCGAGAUUAAAUACUGUUUAUGCAGUCAUUGAGAGGCUUAACAAAGUUUCUUGCAAGAAGAGGAAGUUGGUGGAUGCAUUCAACUUGGACAACGAAAUCAUAGUUUCGUUUGGCAUCAGUCUGAGGACCAAGGGAGGUUAGAUAGGACCAGUGCAGGUUGAUGUGGAUUUCGAGUCAACAAGUAUAACAGCAAGAGAGGUACUCCAUUUACAGUGAUGAUGACAUAUCCCCUGGACCCCCACAACUCCACAAAUUUAAAAAUGUUUGAUCAAGUUCCGAAGAUUAAAGAACUACUGCAAAAUUUGGGACUUGGAUGAAAAACGUUAAUUCACUUAUAUGAGCUCAGAGCAGUGGAUGUUGUACAACAUACUUAAAACUAAAUUGUGAAUUUGAGGGAAAACAAGUACAUGUACUCGUGUAUUACAUGUACAUGCCUUUUGAAAGACAAUAAUAUUGCAUAGAUGUAAAGGAAAUUUCAAUGUUGAUUAUUCUUUCUUAGAUAUAUUAGUAAAAAAUGUGCACAUGAUAGAAUAUCAAUUUUAUAACUUCA